CUGAAACCAAAAUAAAUAAUGUGCCAUUCUGGACAAACAGCUGUGGACAAUAUAUGCAGUCAGAGUAGCCCAUUUUCUCACACAGACCUGAAGAUAAGAUUUCCAGUUUGAAAGUGAAGAAAAUGAAUCAUUAUUAACAGCAAUUAGUAGUUUUUCAGCUGAGAAGCCAGGUGAAACUAUAAGGGCACUAUGAUUUACUUUCAUAUUAUCAUUCUUUAAAGAUGAGGAGCAACCAGUAAGAAAAAGCAAAAAGAUGUUUUGAUGUUGCCUGAGGCACCUUAUUAAAUCCUGGAGUGGAGAUUCAUUCUGAAAGUAGACCAAAUACAGGACAACACCACAGCAGUGGUUGGAAAAAUGCAGCAGACAAUGAGCAAGCCAAGCUGACUUUCAAAAGAUGAUUCGUUAUCUGUUUCUUCAAAGGGGAGGCAGUUUGGGAGAUGGGAAAUAGGAGGAUGCUACAGUUACACAGGGCGAAUUUCAGCAGCUCAGUUUCACACUUGCAACUAACAAUGAAUUAUAGUUAGAAGACAACGGAAAUAUUUGACAUGGGAGACAAGCAGACAGCCAGAGACACGCACACUAGGGUUGCCACCCAUGUCUGAUAAAAAACCUGGACAUAUUGAUGACCCGGCCAAUUGGUUUGCUCACAAGCCCCC